UCUCCCAUCCAAGUACUAACCAGGCCCGACCCUGCUUAGCUUCCAAGAUCAGACUAGAUCGGGCGCUUUCAGGGUGGCAUGGCCGUAGAC
rnacentral:sRNA from 1 species